rfam:Mesocricetus auratus contig074223, whole genome shotgun sequence.
AUCGCUUCUCGGCCUUUUGGCUAAGAUCAAGUGUAGUAAUUAUCUUUGCUUAAAGAUUUAUUUAUUUAUUUAUUAUUUAUUAAAGAUUUAUUAUUUAUACAGUACUCUGUCUGUCUACAUGCAUGCCUGCAGGCCAGAAGAGGGCACCAUAUCUCACUAUAGAUGGUUGUGAGCCACCAUGU